rnacentral:rRNA from 1 species
UACGAAGGGGGCUAGCGUUGCUCGGAAUCACUGGGCGUAAAGGGUGCGUAGGCGGGUCUUUAAGUCAGGGGUGAAAUCCUGGAGCUCAACUCCAGAACUGCCUUUGAUACUGAAGAUCUUGAGUACGGGAGAGGUGAGUGGAACUGCGAGUGUAGAGGUGAAAUUCGUAGAUAUUCGCAAGAACACCAGUGGCGAAGGCGGCUCACUGGCCCGGUACUGACGCUGAGGUGCGAAAGCGUGGGGAGCAAACAGG